rnacentral:rRNA from 1 species
CCUACGGGUGGCAGCAGUGAGGAAUAUUGGUCAAUGGACGAGAGUCUGAACCAGCCAAGCCGCGUGAAGGAUGACUGCCCUAUGGGUUGUAAACUUCUUUUAUAUGGGAAUAAAACGUUCCACGUGUGGGCUUUUGUAUGUACCUUACGAAUAACGAUCGGCUAACUCCGUGCCAGCAGCCGCGGUAAUACGGAGGAUCCGAGCGUUAUCCGGAUUUAUUGGGUUUAAAGGGGGCGUAGGUGGAUUGUUAAGUCAGUUGUGAAAGUUUGGGGCUUAACCGGGAAAGUGCAGUUGAUACUGGCAGUCUGGAGUGCAGUAGAGGUGGGCGGAAUGCGUGGUGUAGCGGUGAAAUGCUUAGAUAUCACGAAGAACACCGAUUGCGAAGGCAGUUCACUGGACUGCAACUGACACUGAGGCUCGAAAGUGUGGGUAGCAAACAGGAUUAGAUACCCGUGUAGUC